AAGGGCACCACAAGAACGCGUGGAGCAUGUGGCUUAAUUUGACUCAACGCGGGAAAUCUUACCGGGUCCGGACACACUGAGGAUUGACAGGCAAUAUUAAUUUCUGCAGCUUCGGCUAAAGUUAUUAUGUUAAAUAUGCUAGUCCUUUCAUGAUUAUGUGAUAGGUGGUGCAUGGCCGUUCUUAGUUCGUGGAGUGAUCUGUCUGCUUAAUUGCGUUUCACUAAGGGCCUAUAAAUUACGUGUGUUGCGGUACUUUGACCCCUCCUUUUUCACGAGAAGAGCGCGUGUCUUAGUUUGCUUAGCUCACACAAUUAGGUCCUGAAAGCAACGAACGUGACCGCAACCUCUUGUUGCCUUUAUACCAAACAUGGAUAUUCUCUUCGGAGGGUUUCAUGAAAAAAGGCUUUUUAAACUAGAGGGACCGCUGUUACUUUCUUAAACCAGAGGAAGGUUGCGGCAAUAACAGGUCUGUGAUGCCCUUAGAUGUUCCGGGCUGCACACGUGCUACAAUGAUUAUUGCAGUGAGCAUCUCAUUUUUUACACACCGCAUACGCGAGUCCAUUUAUUCACUCUCGGGUGCUUUAAAUGUGCAUCUCUGCGAGCGGUAAAGCCUGCUUCGAAAGUAAGUGGGUAAUCAAUUAGAAGUAAUGAUUUCCUUUUUUUCUAGCACACAUAUAUACGGCGUUUAUACCCGGGCUGCCUUGUUGUAGCUUUUGUGCGUAUAGAUGUUUUUUCCGUAUGUGCGAUUGUCAAUUCAUGGUGGGGACAGACCAUUGUUAAUUGUUGGUCUCGGUCUUAACUAGGAAUGCCUUGUACGGGUCUUUGGUUCAACAAACCACCCGGAAUACGUCCCUGCCCUUUGUACACACCGCCCGUCGCUCUUACCGAUGGACUUCUCUGUGAGUUUGGGGGACUGGGAACGCAGGUUUUUUAUUAAAUCUGCACACCUAUGGAAACUUAAACGAACAGUGUGGUCCAAAGGAAAGAGAAGUCGAACAAGGCA
rnacentral:rRNA from 1 species